rnacentral:tRNA from 1 species
GGGGCGACAGUCUGCGGCACGGCCUGACACGACCGACGACGGCGACGUCACCACGACGGCGGGAGACGAUGUGCCUCACGCUUUUAAUCCGUAGGUUCCGGGUUCGAGCCCCGGGCGCCCUACCA